rnacentral:rRNA from 1 species
GGAGUUUGGACCGUGUCUCAGUUCCAAUGUGGGGGACCUUCCUCUCAGAACCCCUACUGAUCGUUGGCUCGGUGGGCCGUUACCCCGCCGACUACCUAAUCAGACGCAUCCCCAUCCCAUAGCGAUGAAUCUUUCGUCCAGGUCAGAUGUCUUCUCUGGACAGCAUAGGGAAUUAAUCCGACUUUCGCCGGGCUGUGCCC